GCCUACGAUACAUGAAGUUUGUUAGUUUCUUAGUUAGUUAAGAGUCACGACCUAUGGAUCAUUUUGCACUAUAAAUUGUAAUGAUGUCGAACGAGUCAUUUUACAUUCACAUCGCAAAUUAAUCUAGGACUGUUUACAAACAACUUGAUUAGAGAAUAAAUACGUUGUGAAGCCGUAGUGAGAGCACAUAACUCCUUCAAUGGAUGCCCACAACAUGAUCAUGGCAACACAGUUACAGAAGAAGUGGACUGUUACACAAGAGAACUCAACAAGAGAAAAGCCUCAAAAAGUGGUUUCCUGCAGAAACCCCAAAAAAAAUAUGUAUAUUUCGAUAUGCUUAAUUUCCUAUCACCUGUAACUGCCACUAAACCACCAGAGUUGGAAGAAGCUGAUGCACAUACUGAUGAGGCAAAUAUCUCUGAUGUACAGGUGGAGUUGCCUCCAAUUCCCGUAAGAGACAAAAGAUGACAGACGAGGAGAAAUUAUUUCAGGUGCUUGCAGCAAACAUCAAGAAAAAAAAAAACGCGUCAAUGGCCGAAGCAGAUGACCCUGACGAACAUUUUCUACUAUCAUUAUUAGAUAAUUUGAAAUCUGUGCCACAGCAUUUGAAAAUGGACGCUAAAUUUGAAAUAAUGUCAGUUUUAAGGAAGUACAGCAGGUCUUAAAGUUCACUAGACAACUAUAAUUUUCAGUUCACUUCACAAAUACCAAUGCCUGUAUACUCAAAUUCACCCAUAGCUGUACCUGCAUAUAAUCCAAGCCCAUGUACAUCAAACCGUGAUGCCACAUUUUCACCUGUAUCAUCUGAUUCAUCAGUGGUCACUGACUUAUUCUCUGGGUAGCGAAAUAUCCCAGGUUUGGCUUACUGUAUUUUAAUAUUACACAUUGGAGCAAAUUAUUAAAUUGGAGCAAUUAAUAUUUAAAAAUAAAGGUAUAUGGAAAAUAAGCAAAUACGUAAAAUAAGGAAAUAUAUAAAAUAAGCAAAUAUGUAAAAUAAGCAAAUAUGUAAAAUGAGGAAAUAUGUAAAAUAAGCAAAUUAUU